rnacentral:rRNA from 1 species
AAAGCUCGUAGUUGAACCUUGGGCCUGGCUGGCCGGUCCGCCUCACCGCGUGUACUGGUCCGGCCGGGCCUUUCCUUCUGGGGAACCUCAUGCCCUUCACUGGGCGUGCUGGGGAACCAGGACUUUUACUUUGAAAAAAUUAGAGUGUUCAAACCAGGCCUUUGCUCGAAUACAUUAGCAUGGAAUAAUAGAAUACGACGUGUGGUUCUAUUUUGUUGGUUUCUAGGACCGCCGUAAUGAUUAAUAGGGAUAUUCGGGGGCAUCAGUAUUCAAGCGUCAGACGUGAAAUUCUUGGAUUGCUUGAAGACUAACUACUGCGAAAGCAUUUGCCACGGAUGUUUUCAUUAAUCAGUGAACGAAAGUUAGGGGAUCGAAGACGAUCAGAUACCGUCGUAGUCUUAACCAUAAACUAUGCCGACUAGGGAUCGGACGGUGUUAGUAUUUUGACCCGUUCGGCACUCUUACGAGAAAUCAAAGUUUUUGGGUUUCUGGGGGGAGUAUGGUCGCAAGGCUGAAACUUAAAGGAAUUGACGGAAGGGCACCACCAGGCGUGGAGCCUGCGGCUUAAUUUGACUCAACACGGGGAAACUCACCAGGUCCAGACACAAUAAGGAUUGACAGAUUGAGAGCUCUUUCUUGAUUUUGUGGGUGGUGGUGCAUGGCCGUUCUUAGUUGGUGGAGUGAUUUGUCUGCUUAAUUGCGAUAACGAACGAGACCUUAACCUGCUAAAUAGCCAGGCCCGCUUUGGCGGGUCGCCGGCUUCUUAGAGGGACUAUCGGCUCAAGCCGAUGGAAGUUUGAGGCAAUAACAGGUCUGUGAUGCCCUUAGAUGUUCUGGGCC